AAUCAUAGGCAAACAACCUUUUCAUAACCCCCCAUAAUAUCGUAUCCCCUUUCUUUCAAGCCUUCAUUUAAUCAUGUGUAUAUAAGUGGCAUGUAACUCGGUCGAGUCUAGGAGUCAGAGUUGCUAAGCUUUAAAGAAUGCAAGAUAUAGUCUCCCUUGUGUUAGUUUGAUGUUUAAGUAGAAUCUCAAAAAAUGAGAAAAAGAGAAAAAAAAUGGUGAAAAUCUAAAAAAAGGAAGGAGAAA
rnacentral:lncRNA from 1 species